CCUGCGGCGAGGGCGGGUGGCCAUGGCGUACUCCACUGUGCAGAGGGUGGCCCUGGCCUCGGGGCUCGUCCUGGCUGUGUCGCUGCUUCUGCCCAAGGCCUUUUUGUCCCGCGGAAAGCGGCAGGAGCCACCGCCGGCUCCCGAAGGGAAGUUGAGUCGAUUUCCACCUAUGAUGCAUCAUCACCAGGCACCCUCAGAUGGCCAGACCUCUGGGGCUCACUUCCAGAGGUCUCACCUUGCAGAGGCCUUUGCAAAGGCUAAAGGACCAGGUGGAGGCACUGGAGGAGGAGGUAGUGGAAGAGGCCUGAUGGGGCAGAUUAUUCCAAUCUACGGUUUUGGGAUUUUUUUAUAUAUACUAUACAUUCUAUUUAAGCUCUCAAAGGGGAAAAGUACUGCAGAGGAUCGGAAGUGCUCUACUGCCACACCUGGAAGCACCCACAGGAAAAUUACCAAUUUUGAGCUUGUUCAACUACAAGAAAAACUGAAGGAGACAGAGGAAGCCAUGGAAAAACUAAUCAACAGAGUGGGGCCUAAUGGUGAGAGCAGAGCACAGGCCGUGACUUCUGACCAAGAAAAACGAUUGCUGCAUCAGCUCCGAGAAAUCACCAGGGUCAUGAAAGAAGGAAAAUUCAUUGACAGCCCCACUCCAGAGAAAGAAGCUGAGGAGGCCCCUUACAUGGAGGACUGGGAAGGUUACCCUGAAGAGACUUAUCCAAUUUAUGACCUUUCAGAUUGCAUCAAGCAUAGGCAAGAAACAAUCCUGGUGGAUUACCCUGACCCAAAAGAGCCCUCUGCCGAGGAAAUAGCUGAAAGAAUGGGAGUGAUAGAAGAAGGAUCAGGCCAUUUGGGGUGGGAAAUGCCUGCUGACCCCAGAGCUCAGGAAGAUAAUUCUGUUACCUCGUGUGACCCAGAGGCAGAAACAUGUUCCUGCUGUUCUCAUGAAGAAGAGGAUCCCGCUGUCUUGGCAGAGAAUGCUGGAUUUGGUGCAGAUAGUUACCGUGAGCAAGAGGAGACCACCAAAGAAAUGUGGCCCCGCGACUUGAGAGAUGAAGGGCCAGGCGUCAGUGCUGAUAAAGCAGAUCCAGGGGGCAUGCUGAGGAAGCGGGACCCCCACCGUUUAGAGUACAGCCAGCCAGUUUGGUGAGACGGGACCACUCAGGGCAGAGGUCUGACUCUUCGUGUUAGGAGUAACAGAUGGUUUACCUGUGAACGAACAUCAGAUUAUACAUGACGAGGACAUAAGGUUGUAAGAGUGAAGAUUUCAGAGUCCAGAAUGCCUUAUUCUGUGGGCCUUGAGCAGAACUGAUCUGGGCUGAGUCCCCUGGCACUAGGUCUGCAGUGACUUUUAGGCACCGUGGCAGAGCACAGUCACACCUCUGGGGGCAGAUAGUUGGCCCAGGAAACAACUGCAUCACCUGGGACCAUGCUUGGUAAAUCAGGUGGGUGAUCCGGCCAGGAGAUCCCCUUUCCUGGUCAGAAUAAGAGCACAGGGAGAGUACCUCCUUAGUUCCAGGACUAGUGCUAUGUGAGCUCAGGAGCCAGGCCCAGAGAGCUGCAUAGAGGAGUGCAGGCACGUUUGGCCUCUAGAAGAGAUGGCUUGUGAGGACCCCACUCUCUGCACCCUCUAUGGCCUGGAUGAUCCAAUGACUUAUGGUCCAGUCUGGGGCACUUUGGGAAAAGGGAGCUUUAAUUAUGCCAGGAUAAUAGCUGUAAACUAGGACUUGGGAAAAGGGAGCUUUAAUUAUGCCAAGAUAAUAGCUGUAAACUAGGACUCUCCAUGGACCCUGUCCAGGGCUAUUUACGAGAUUUGUCUUUAACCUGACCACUAAACAACGAAAAUCUCUUUCCUUUUUAGUAGUGCCCUGCAAAUGUUAUUUCCCAGAGGCAGAGCCAAGGAGAGAGGCCACAGUUCAGGUAGGAAAUGCUGUUGACCACAUUAAAAACUCCAAAUCUGGGGUAAUAAAUAAACCAACCCUACUUAUUACCACACUCUUAGAUUCCCUCAACCCAGACUAUUUAUAUACCAAAGGAAAAUCUAAUACUUCAGCUACCCAGCAAUGAGAAAAACAUGAAGUAUCACAGACUUUGCCUUGACCAUUUUCACACAAGUGUUUCUAAAAUGUACCUAACCUUAUGUUUUUCCUUUCCCAUUUUCUUAUACAAAGUAAAUAGGCCAAAUUUCUCCUUUUUCUUGAUUACUCCUUAACUCCUCUAAGCACCAAUUUCCUCAUUUACGCACUGGGAAUAAUACCCGCCUCGCAGUGCUGUGCGCAGUGUCUGUCCAGGGUGUAGCCUGUGCUAGGUGCUCAUGCCAGUGCCACCAACAGCAUCACACUCUGUCAUCAAGUCCUGUGCUGCUGGGCUGUCGCCCGUGACACCCUCCAAGGCUACCCUGACUGCUGGGAAUGGCCCAGAGCACAGGUCCUGCAGUCUCUGGGUGACUUCAGUUUUGAUCUCCUCCCUCAGGAUCAGACCCAUAGCCUUCAUGUCUGCUUCCAGCCACAACUGCAGCCUCCCUUGCUGUUGGCUGCAGAUCUGCCACAGGCCAAAAAGAAAAUUCCCAAGUGUGUAGUAUGUCCAAGUCCUGUUUAAACAGGUUAGGCUGCUCUGCAUAGGGCUACAGGAACCCAGUGGCUGGGUCUUCAUGUUAUUUCUACUACUUGGGCCUUUCUCACCUGUUAUUCAGCUCUGUGGUCCUGUUUUUGUUCGUAUGGGCCAGGCCCACAGGGGUUUACUUAGGAAGCAGCAGCCCAUUCUUCCAGCUGGCACAGCUGCCCCUGCAGAGGAUGCUCUAACUUAAGUACCUUCUGUCCUUACCCUUCUAGCCCCUCCAGCCUCUGUGUGUGUGGUCCUGACCAUCCUUAAACUUGACGAGCACGGCCAGAGGGAAGACAGUUUCCACCCAUAUGUGAUGGUUUCUAAACAAGCUAUGAUCCCCUUGUUACCACCACCCUCCUGCCCACCCCUGAGCCUCUUAGGACAGAAGGAAUGAAUGAUGUAGAAAAAAACUUUUAGGUAAGAGACAUGUUUUUUCUUUUAUAGGGGGAAAAAAGUGCACAGCAGUGUUGAAACAGUUCAAGUUUAAUUUGUUGAUAUAUGGUUUGUGGUCUGUACUUAGACAAACACUAAGUUCUACAACAUACAUAAUGUCAACAUGGGAAAAUACCAACUUUGUCAUUGCACAUACCAAUAAAUAAAUACAUUUGCUCCAGAAUACCAAAGAGUU